GGCCGAGUGGUAGAGUGGUCAUGCAGCGGACUGCAAAUCCGCGUACGUCGGUUCGAUUCCGGCCUCGGCCUCCA
rnacentral:tRNA from 1 species